rnacentral:tRNA from 1 species
UCCCUGGUGGUCCAGUGGCUAAGACUCAGUACUUCCAAUUCUGGGGGCCCCGGUUCAAUCCCUGCUCAGGGAA